AUCGAAGAAGGAGGCCUGGGCUGAGAGCACCGGAUGCCACGAAGACUUUAGGCUCUUUCAGCCUGACUGUCUGCCCUGCCGGGACCACAGGCCACCUUGGGAAGCUUCAGCCUGAAGCUGCAUUGAGCGUACGGAUUGGAUCCCAGACUCUGAGACCCUUGGUUUACGUUCAGACCUGGAGGGCGUUUACUGAACAUGCCCUGGGGCACGCCUUGCACCUUGCUCUGGGCCCUGGGUUUAGGCCUCCAGGAGCCACAGCCGCACAGAAGCCCCAGGGCCUUCUCAGCACACCCCAGGCUCCAGCGGAUUCUGGGGACCUCUCAGUCAUCACCCCAAAGUGGAAACCGGGCCCUGGCACUCCAUACCGUGAGAAUUCUUGGAAAUCGGGUGAGCCACGUGGAGUCGGGGCCCAUCAAUGUAGGCCCGCACGGCCAGGGCGCACCUCUCCUGGGCCUCUGGGAUGUGGGGCGGGGGCGGCGGCCCCGUGAGCAGGAGGUGGCUUGGCAGAGGGUCGUCCCCGUCCCGGAUGGAAUCUGGAUCUGUUCUGACAUCCGUGUGUGGUAACAAGUAUAAAAUGUUCAUAGUUUCGAGCCAGUGAUUCUCCUGCUGGGAGUUUAUCCUGAAGGAAUAACGUGAAAGCCAGAAAACCUGCCUCCCAGGCCCCUCCGGCUGCAUUAUUUAUAACUGGGAGAAGCUGGGAACGACCCAAGUGCACGGGGAGGCCGGCGAGGAAAGCCGCCGCGCGUCUGGUGAGCUGAACAACGCGCAGCUGUUCAAAGUCACGUCUGUGGAAAGUUCCAGCCAUGUCAGAAAUGCUUCUUCUGUGAUGAGCGGUGGACGGGGCAGAACACGGCGGGGCCGCAGCUGAGGGUUUCGGCUGGCAGCCGGGCAGAGCGGCCAAAGCCACGGACGCACCGUGCGUGCUCGUGGGAGCUGAACGGUGGGAAAACAGUGGUUCUGCUCCGGUCUGUGGCCCGUGGCGGGGACCGUCUUACCAACUCAUGUGAUUUAUGGGCUCAACCUCACCCCAGACUCAGAGGCCGUCCACCCAGGCCCCCGGGGCUUGGGGCUCCAGGCUCUGUCCCUGGGUCAGCAGCUGUAGCAGGGGCUCAGGGAGGGAGUCCGGCGGGAAGAGGCCUCUUCUCACAGCCAGGGCCACGCUGCCAGGGCCGAGGCUCCCGCCUGCUGUACCGCGAGUGGUUUCUGAGUUUCUUCUCGGUAAGACCGGCUGUGGGGUCUGCGCUGUGGCCCCUGCCACCCGUGUCCCCCUCGCCCACUGCCGGAGCCUCUGGGGGCCUUAACGAAGAUGGGGGCAGGGUGUGGCGUCCCUGCCCCGAGAAAGGUCCUGGGGCUCAAGCACGGUGACCAGCCAGGAGGAAUUGCUUCUCCACCCCGGGGAACCAGGGAGGGCUUCUUCAAGAACAGCUGGGCUGAGCGGGAGGGAGCGGGCAGGGACUGAGCUCGGAGCGUCUACCCCUGGGAGAAACUCGAAUCCCAGGCCCCCACUGUCAGUGGCCUUGGGUACUACCUUCGGGCUCGCGGAGGGGAGGGAGCUCCAGCCUGGGUGGUCAGGCGCCCGACAAAACCACGUGCUGACCCUGGGGUAAGACACAGGCCUCCUCGUGGGGGUGGCUCUGAGGCCCAGAGCCUCCGAGGAGCACAGGGUCUGGGGGUGCGGGGGGCAGUGCGGGGACCCGGCCUGUGGGAGCAGCCCCUCUGGCAGCCUCAGCAGGCUCUGGUGUCCCCACAGGGAGCCGCUCCCCCCUCCUGACCGCGUUCCCAGAGCGGCCGUGGCUGGACCUUGCCUUCCCCAGGGACCGGUCUCGGGUGGGGACUCUCCAGCCCCGCAGGGAGACCUGGGCCUCCCCUGGCCCGGAGGAGCCUGGCUCCCGAGGGCCGCUUCUCCGCUGGCCUCCCGAGGGGGACGUGCCAGCUUCUCCCUUGCACGGCCCGGGUCCUGGACGUUCUGCCCAAACCCCUCGGCGGCCUCAUUUCUCUCCGGAAGCCGGGCCUCCCAGUCUCCCUGCCUCCUGGCCAGUGCUGGGCCUCAUGAGGGUCCCGCAGGUACUCUCUGUUCUUUGUGCUGGAGACCGUUCCGGGGUGACCAAGGAGAAAGGGCACCGUGGCCUUGUCAGUGUCCUCACGGGACGCCUGGGAUCAUCAGGCCGGGGGGCGCGGGCGUCUUCUCCCCGCCGCUGGUCCGCGCUGGGCCAGGCUCCCUCGGCCCCCCCACAGCGAUGCCUCACUUCAACGGGGAAGCCCGCUCUGACCUCCCUGGGCCUCAGCGUUCUCGCCUGGGAAUGGGGCCAGUGCUGCCCCCCUCACAGGGCCGUGUGCGGGUGGAGCCCAACCGGUGCCCCGGCUGACCCCGCGGGGAUGGGCUGAGCUCUGCCCGAGGCACGAACGGACGCAUCGAGAAGGAACGAAUGAAGGCCGCAGAGGCGCCAAGAACCAUGAGCGCGGUGCGCUCCGUGGAAAAGCCCAGACGCGAGGGGCGCGUGCAGCCGGACCCCAUGGGUAUGAGAUGUCCCGGGAGGUAAGUCCGCGUGGCGAGCGAGGACGUGGGUGGCGGCCAGGGGCUGGGGGACAGGGAGCCCUGUUCACGGGUGCAGGCCGAGGGGGGCGUUCCGGAACCAGGUCGUGGGGGCGGCUGCACCACGGAGAGAACGUACCAGGCGCCACGGCAUUGUUCACUUGAGAGCGGCCACUUUUGGGGCACCUGCCUGGCCCAGUCGGAAGCGCGUGCGACUCCUGAUCUCAGGGUCGUGAGUUCGAGCCCCGUGUAGGGUGCAGACAUUACUUAAAAAUAAAAUCUUAAACAUAAACAUGUAAAUACAUAAAUCAAGCGGCCACUUCUCCGUUAUGUGAGUUUCACCUCAGCUUAAGAAACGAGGAGGGAACGGCGGGGGCUCCCCUUCCCUGGAGGGGAGCGAGCUCGGCUCUGGGAGGGGGUGGCCUGGUCUGAACCCAGGUCUCUCACCGCAAAGCGGACGCCCUGACUCAGUUCCCUUUUCUGAAACACAGGCCCUGGGUGUGGGGAAAGGUGAGGCCCAGCUCAAAAGGCCAAGGGUCUCUGUUCCCCAAGGGCAUCCCUGGAGUCGGGCAAAGUCUGGACCAGACCUGGGGGGACAGGUGGGGGAGCAGGCCUUGGUUGGGGCCAUGCCGGUGGCUGUGUCCAGAUGGGCAGCCCUCCCACCCACAUCCGGGGCGGCUGACGCUUGAAUCUGGGCCCGACCCCACCCCUCCCGCCCCUCUGACCCCUCACCCCGGGCCCGGCCUCCCUUCGCCCUGUUCUGACCCAGUGCCCAGCAGCAGCCCAGGAGCUGGGCCAGGUCCCAC